CUGUUGGUGAUUCAGUGGUACAAUUCUUGUCUUCCAUGUGGGAGACCAGGGUUUGAUUCCCAGCCAACACA
rnacentral:tRNA from 1 species